rnacentral:rRNA from 1 species
CCUACGGGAGGCAGCAGUGGGGGAUAUUGCACAAUGGGGGAAACCCUGAUGCAGCGACGCCGCGUGUGGGAAGACGGUCCUCUGGAUUGUAAACUCCUGUCCCCAGGGACGAAAUUGCCGGUACCUGGUGAGGAAGCUCCGGCUAACUACGUGCCAGCAGCCGCGGUAAUACGUAGGGCGAGAGCGUUGUCCGGAAUUACUGGGGGUAAAGGGUGCGUAGGCGGGGAUUCAAGUUGGGUGUCAAAACUACCGGCUCAACUGGUAGUCGCACUCAAAACUGCAGCGCUUGAGUGAAGUAGAGGCAGGCGGAAUUCCUAGUGUAGCGGUGAAAUGCGUAGAUAUUAGGAGGAACACCAGUGGCGAAGGCGGCCUGCUGGGCUUUUACUGACGCUGAGGCUCGAAAGUGUGGGGAGCAAACAGGAUUAGAUACCCCAGUAGUC